rnacentral:rRNA from 1 species
AGUGAACGCUGGCGGUAGGCCUAACACAUGCAAGUCGAACGGCAGCACAGUAAGAGCUUGCUCUUACGGGUGGCGAGUGGCGUACGGGUGAGGAAUACAUCGGAAUCUACUUUUUCGUGGGGGAUAACGUAGGGAAACUUACGCUAAUAUCGCAUACGACCUACGGGUGAAAGCAGGGGAUCUUCGGACCUUGCGCGAUUGAAUGAGCCGAUGUCGGAUUAGCUAGUUGGCGGGGUAAAGGCACACCAAGGCGACGAUCCGUAGCUGGUCUGAGAGGAUGAUCAGCCACACUGGAACUGAGACACGGUCCAGACUCCUACGGGAGGCAGCAGUGGGGAAUAUUGGACGAUGGACGCAAGCCUGAUCCAGCCAUACCGCGUGGGUGAAGAAGGCCUUCGGGUUGUAAAGCCCUUUUGUUGGGAAAGAAAAGAAGCAGGUUAAUACCCCGCUGUUAUGACGGUACCCAAAGAAUAAGCACCGGCUAACUUCGUG